CCUACGGGAGCAGCAGUGGGGAAUAUUGCACAAUGGGCGCAAGCCUGAUGCAGUCAUGCCGCGUGUGUGAAGAAGGCCUUCGGGUUGUAAAGCACUUUCAGCGGGGAGGAAGGCGGUGAGGUUAAUAACCUCAUCGAUUGACGUUACCCGCAGAAGAAGCACCGGCUAACUCCGUGCCAGCAGCCGCGGUAAUACGGAGGGUGCAAGCGUUAAUCGGAAUUACUGGGCGUAAAGCGCACGCAGGCGGUCUGUCAAGUCGGAUGUGAAAUCCCCGGGCUCAACCUGGGAACUGCAUUCGAAACUGGCAGGCUAGAGUCUUGUAGAGGGGGGUAGAAUUCCAGGUGUAGCGGUGAAAUGCGUAGAGAUCUGGAGGAAUACCGGUGGCGAAGGCGGCCCCCUGGACAAAGACUGACGCUCAGGUGCGAAAGCGUGGGGAGCAAACAGGAUUAGAUACCCGAGUAGUC
rnacentral:rRNA from 1 species